rnacentral:lncRNA from 13 species
CUCCUUUGGGAACGGUGGCCCAGGGAAGCAUGUUAAACCACAGGAUGAACUUGGUAUAUCUUCAUGGGAUAUGUUUACUUUAGUGGCCCUCGGGACAGGAGAAAACAAAGAUCACUUUUCUCUGGCCAAAUGGAGUCACCCAGCGAAGUACCUUCCCGAUGGGCCAUCUCUUUCAAUUGCUGACCUCUAUAACAGAAGACAAAAUUGGAAGCAAGAGUGAUUCCGGAGGAGUCACACUUAGAUGUUUCCCUUACCUGUUUCUGUUCCGGAAAUUUUUAAAUCUUACUUCUCAUGAUUGUCCUACACGAAGAAUUAAAAACCACAAGAAUUCAUGGAUGGAAAACUGAGACCCAGAGAGAUGAUCGCAUUCACAUUGUAAUAAAUCAGCAAUUAACUUAGUG